rnacentral:rRNA from 1 species
UACGUAGGGGGCUAGCGUUGUCCGGAAUCAUUGGGCGUAAAGCGCGUGUAGGCGGCCCGGUAAGUCCGCUGUGAAAGUCGGGGGCUCAACCCUCGGAUGCCGGUGGAUACUGUCGGGCUAGAGUACGGAAGAGGCGAGUGGAAUUCCUGGUGUAGCGGUGAAAUGCGCAGAUAUCAGGAAGAACACCCGUGGCGAAGGCGGCUCUCUGGGACGGUACUGACGCUGAGACGCGAAAGCGUGGGGAGCGAACAGG